ensembl:snoRNA
CCCUCCUACAAAGGCGUGUCUGUGGUUUCCUAUCUUUGGACACGUAAGAAUUGGAGGCAAAGAAAUGUGGACUUGGAGAAAUCUGGGGCCAGCUUGCACCCUGCAGGCUCAAGAUCAACCAUCCCACAAAG